GGCCACCUGCGGAUCCAUCCGGGAUCGAGGGGGCUUUCACAUAGGGUGGACCCGUUUCACCCGUUCUGCAAACGGAAGACAGAAG
rfam:Roseovarius sp. HTCC2601 scf_1100011001366 genomic scaffold, whole genome shotgun sequence.